CUCUCAAGGAUCAUGGGAGCUUGAGAACCGUGGGUAGACCAUGGCUGUGCAUAGGCACUGGGUGGCCAUCUGGGAGCUGUGGGGACCACUGGGCCCUUGUGGGAGCUUAGGAGUUGUGGGGGUCAUUUGGAAGCCUAGGGUGCACAGGACUGGACAUCAGAUGAUUGGAGGCCAUCUGUGGACGUCUGGGAAUCAGGGAUUUAUAGAGAUCUGGGGUGCUUGGGAAGCAUCUCUGGAUGUCUGGGGGAUGUGGGGGCUGUGUCUGGAUACUUGGGGAGCGUGGGGAUCAUUUGAGAGAGGUGACAGUAGGUAGCAUAUAUGUUUGCGGCAUUUCUCGCAACUGUACAAAGGUCUGGCCUAAGCAGGGUUCCCAAGCCAGAUAUUCCUCCCAAGAGUGUGUUCUGAGCAUCCCCCACCCUGGGGGCAGGCCUGUGUGGGAGUCCAGCAGGAAACUUCACCCUCGGCAGUGGGCAGCUGUGGUGCAGUAGAGGGGGCACGACUUCCCCAGGGCAUUGCCCUCUGUCCAUUCCUGCCCCAUCCUUUCCAAACUGUAUGUGUCUUUGUCCCAUCCUUCCAGGGAAGAGCUGAACCUGGCAGUGCUCCAUGCUUUUGUGGAUCUGCAUGAGUUCACCGACCUCAAUCUGGUGCAGGCCCUCAGGUGAGUGAGGGGGAGGGGUUUGGAAUGCCAGGAAUGUACCUGUCAGGGCCUUCCUAGUUACAAGUGACAAACCUUACUCAAGAAAAAAACAGAAACAAGCAAAACAGAAACAAAAACUAGGGAACUGAGUGUGUCCUGCACCAUAAAAGUUCAGGGUUAUGGCCUCCUUCAGGUAUGGCUAUAUCCAGGAGCUCAAAUGGUGGUCAGAAAGUCGACUUUCUUUGCCUCUUGUAUUUGCCACUGUGUCAGCAUUGCUCUCUGCAGACCCGCUUACCUGAUAACAAGCCUCAACCAACCCCCAGACCUGUCUAGCAAACUUAGCAGAAAGAGGCUAUUUCUGUACGGAUUCACAACACUCCCGUGGCCAAUGCCCAUUGGUGAGAUUGGAUCAUGUGACCAUACCUGAAACAACUGCUGAGGCCGGAAGGUCGGGAUUCCUCGUGGACCAGUUCUUAACACAGGGACUGAGAGUGGGGACAGGCUCCCACCAGCCCUGGCAUCCAUUCCUGGCCCCUCCCCAACCCAGGCAGUUUCUAUGGAGCUUUCGCCUACCCGGAGAGGCCCAGAAAAUUGACCGGAUGAUGGAGGCCUUCGCCCAGCGAUACUGCCUGUGCAACCCUGGGGUUUUCCAGUCCACAGACACGUGCUAUGUGCUGUCCUUCGCCGUCAUCAUGCUCAACACCAGUCUCCACAAUCCCAAUGUCCGGGACAAGCCGGGCCUGGAGCGCUUUGUGGCCAUGAACCGGGGCAUCAACGAGGGCGGGGACCUGCCUGAGGAGCUGCUCAGGAACCUGUACGACAGCAUCCGAAAUGAGCCCUUCAAGAUUCCUGAGGACGACGGGAAUGACCUGACCCACACCUUCUUCAACCCGGACCGGGAGGGCUGGCUCCUGAAGCUGGGUACGUGCCCUCCCGACCCCGCUGGUCCCUCCGCAGGAGGACAUUUGUGGGCCUGGGCCCUGGACUCAGCUUCCGCACAAACCUGCUGCCUGAACUGAGGCAAAUGAUUCGACCUCUCUGAACCUCAGUUUUCCACACCCAAAAAAUGGGGCUGAAAAUAAAAUCAGGCCUGUGUGCUGGGCCUGGCCUGUAGUAAGUACUUCCCAACCCCUUCUCUUGACCCACAAAUGUUGAUGGAGCCCUUCUGUGCCAGGCCCUGAGCUGGGCUGAGGAGGCAGAGAGGCAGCUGACAUUGUCCUUUCUUGGGAGAAGAGUUCACUCAGGCUUCUUUCCACUGCGUUAACCCAGCCUGAGGGAGCCAAACCCCUGGAAUCUAUUCCCCUUGGCAAGAACUCCCAGGGUCCCAGGCAGGACUGACCCCGCACUCCAAGGCAUCAGGCCCAGAGCACUUGCUGAUCCAGGUGCCAUCCUUCCCGAAACACCACCCACAGGCAGAAAAGAGCCAAACAGGCCAGGAAACCUGUCCCAGAUUCUGGCUUCCAGCUGUGGAGGGAAUAGCCAGGGCUGGUGCAGAUGAGUCGGGAAACCCAGCAGAGAUGGAGGGGGGAGUCUUCGUCAUAACACGUGGCACUGGCACAUUCAAGGUCGGUUAGCAUGGAUCAGACAGGAUCGUAGCAUGAUGAGGGGUUAGCACAAGGACUGGAGUGGUUCUCAGCCCUGGCUGUACAUGAGAUUUGCCUGGGCACCUCGAAAACUCCGGUGGCUGGGCCAUAGACUCCUGAAGUCAGGCUCUCAGGAGCAGAAGGGCCAUCAGUCAUUGUUUAAGCUCCUCGGGUGCUCCCAAUGCAUAGUCAAGGUUGAGAGCUGCUGGCCUGGAGCCGUGCCUGGUAACAGUAGGUGCCACCUGCGUGUUAGAUGUGGUUUAUAAUGGAGACACGGUGCACAGCUGCUCCAGAGAGACACAUCUGGGCAGUUACAGUCCAGCACAGCAGUGGAGGCUUCCCACGGCAGCAGGAGAGCCCACAGGAAGCUUUCAGCUCAGUGAAGGGAGUCAAGGUCAGGCUUCUUGGAAGGAGGUUGGACAGGGCAGCUUUGGCCUCUGAGUCUUGGGGGCCUCCUCAUGUGGAACUGUGCUCUUAAACCAGGGCAUCACCACCUCAACAGAUGCCAGGGUUUCCUGGUAAAUAUAAAAUACACAAGUCAGGCAGGGCACAGGGGCCCACCCCUGUAAUUUCAGCACUUUGGGAGGACAAAGCAGGAGGAUUGUUAGAGGUCAGGAGUUUGAGACCAACCUGGGCAAUAUAAUGAUACCCCGCAUCUCUAC
rnacentral:sRNA from 1 species